rnacentral:rRNA from 1 species
UGUGUAGGUGGCGCGCUAAGUCGGGUGUGAAAUUUCGGAGCUUAACUCCGAAACUGCAUUCGAUACUGGCGUGCUUGAGGACUGGAGAGGAGACUGGAAUUCAUGGUGUAGCAGUGAAAUGCAUAGAGAUCAUGAGGAAGGCCAGUGGCGAAGGCGGGUCUCUGGACAGUUCCUGACACUGAGACACGAAGGCCAGGGGAGCAAACG